rnacentral:rRNA from 1 species
CCUACGGGAGGCAGCAGUGGGGAAUAUUGCACAAUGGGGGAAACCCUGAUGCAGCGACGCCGCGUGAGUGAAGAAGUAAUUCGUUAUGUAAAGCUCUAUCAGCAGGGAAGAAAAUGACGGUACCUGAGUAAGAAGCCCCGGCUAACUACGUGCCAGCAGCCGCUGUAAUACGUAGGGGGCAAGCGUUAUCCGGAUUUACUGGGUGGAAAGGGAGCGUAGACGGGAGUGCAAGGCUGGAGUGAAAGACGGGGGCUCAACCCCCGGACUGCUCUGGAAACUGUCCGGCUGGAGUGCAGGAGAGGUAAGUGGAAUUCCUAGUGUAGCGGUGAAAUGCGUAGAUAUUAGGAGGAACACCAGUGGCGAAGGCGGCUUACUGGCCUGUAACUGACGUUGAGGCUCGAAAGCGUGGGGAGCAAACAGGAUUAGAUACCCCAGUAGUC